rnacentral:lncRNA from 1 species
CUAAAUCCUGGGUUUGAUUUGUUUGUUGGAAGCUCAGAAUAAAGAGGAUAACUUGAAAAGGGGUGUUAAUUCCUUGGCCAGGGACAGUUGCCAUCUCACCAGAGGCACAUGUGUGUAGGAUUAGCUCCUCUCCUAGGCCCUUGGAGCUGAUCUGUAAUAGGAAAGAAAAAUUUUGAAAUGAGCAGAAUCUGUGCUGACCUUCCCAUAUGAGAGCAAAACUUAAUUAGUCCUCAGUGUGUAGACAAACCACCCUAAGCCCAGUCACGGGAAUUUGUUGGUCAACAGACUGUACCAUCCACUUUGUACAAGCUGAGAUGUUUCUUGGUCAUGACUUCUGAGGACUUCCAGCCUUCCCGGGCUCCCAAGAUCCAAGGAUGCCCUCUUACCUUGUCU